AAUGUAGAUUGUAGAGCAUCCUUGGUGCGGGAGCGCCGCAGACUGUCGGGACAAUAGAGGGCACAAGAAGAGGAGGAAGAGUUCGACCCGAGCCGCCUGUCACUCGCGCAGAAGAUACAAGGCAGCUCCAUUGUCAAGGAAAUCAGAGUCUAGCCCACGUCUCACCACACCAUCCCUGUCGUUCCUGCCAACCACCACACUGUUUCCAGUGUGUGCUUCCUGCUCCCCAAAGGCCAUGCCAAACAAGGGACAGAACAGAAGGCCUAAAGGCUUCAUGGCGGAUAAGAAACCAAGUCAGGAACGCAUGAAGCCGUCUGUGAAGGAAAAAGAGAAGGAGCAGAAGGAACAAAAACCAAAGGAUAAAGAUAAGAAAUAAUUGGAAGAUGAUCUUUUCAAGUCAGUUAAUCAGUUAUCUCAAGUGGCAUUCUCCCAGAGAAGUAAGUGAGCUGCCCUCCAGAGAAACUAAAGAAGAUGCAUAGUUCCCUAUUAUUCAAAUUUCCUGUUUCAUAAUCAUUCUUGGUCAUAUGUUUUUGUAUGUUUUGGAAACAUUGCAAAUAGGUCUCAUUUGCAUUUUAUUUCUUUAAAAGUUAUAGAUUUAACAAAUAUUUGCAAACCAUUGACAUUCCUAUAUAGCAUUCAAUAUUUAUAAGUGUUAGUGUGAUGUUUGUUAUAAUUACUGGAGUCUUUAUGUGGUAUAACUUUUUUUGUCCAAUAUUUGUACAAGUUUGAAGGAUGGAAGCCUUUUGUCACCACCAUUCCUUCAUAUUUCUGUAAUGAAAAGGUUAUCAUGAAUCUUUCAAACAUUUUGUUCAAAUGAUAUCAGAUGAAAAUAAGACUAGUCCCAAUUUUCUACUUGUGAAAAUGAGAAAAGUAGAGUUCUUCAUAUACCCAACUUGUAUUUUUGUACAAAGCAUGAAACUGCUAUUCACACGUAAGCUCUCUUGAGCAUAGAUGCAAGAAACUGCAUGAGACUUACCACCCUGUUCCACGCCAAAGAUAUGCAUGUUCUUUAAAUCAAUAGUAGGUCUUAUAUGGGAGCUGAUUUCUUCUAGACAUGAGGGUUGGUCUGUUUUGUCAUACCAUUUGCUAUCUUUUGUAUCACUUCAAUAACUUCUAUAUUUUACCUAAGAGUUGUGCUGGAUUGAGGACCUGUUUACUCUUGUCCAUUUUCCUUGUUCUCUGAGUGGUGAUUGGAAUUCAUAGAUGUAGCAUCAGUUAGCUUCUUAGACAUAGCUGGGUUUCUUUAGUUUAGAUAAAUGGAGAUCAAUACUAAGUUUAACCCAACUGUAAAGUAGUUAAGUAGAGCGCUCAGAACUGCCACCUUGGUGGCACUCUUAAGGAUAUGUAUUAGUGUUUCCCUACUCUUUCUACUUGACAUAAAACCUUAAAUUGUCUGGAUACUUCUGAGACUUGCUGUAAAUAAUAGACAGAUUCAUAACAUCAUGUUCAUCAUAUGCCUUGAUGAGGAUAUCUAUGCUGUUAGGUGACAGUUGGUGUGAAAACUAUUGGAUAUUAUGAGGUGUCUCAUCACAACCAACCAUUAAACAUCAGUUGUUGCUAAUGUGACCACAUGAAUGCCUAGCCAUUUAAUCUUGGAGUUUUCUGGAUUUUUUUGGCCCACAGAUGUCUGAGUAUUUUUUAUAUGUAUAAGAGGUGAAAGCUGGCUACGGGCAACAUAAAAAAAAAAAAAAAAAGGCUCACUAAGUUUUGCCAGUCCCCUUGCAGAUGGGGAGUCUUUAGGAAAAGGAGUCAGGUAUAGAUAGGCAGGUACAUGGUAGGUCCUUUUACGUAGAGACAGGAAAACUUUCAUUGUAGGAAUCAUGGAGCUAAGGGUGAUAAACUUAUAUUUCAUGAAUUUGAUGGAUAUUUUCUUUAGUGAUUACAUUCUUGAGCAACAUUUACCUCAUAAUACUAAACAGCCAAUAUUAUUUUGGAAAGGUUUUACAUCAGCAUGACACAGGUUGAUGUCUGUUUUGUCAGUAUCUUUUGUAAACAAUGGUUAUAAUUUGUAUAGAAAUCCUAGACUUCAGUAAUCUUAUUUUUAAAGGUUUGUUAUGAUUGUUUAUUAGUUUUCUUGUCCAUGUAAAGUUGUUACUCAUUGUUAGUCUGUUUAAAGUAGUGGUUCUUAACCUUGGAAGCAUCAAUAAUUUCCAAGGGGAGUGUGAGCCCUUGGGAAAAAGUAGGAAUUUCUCUAAUUAUAUUUGUCAUUCUCUUAACGAGAGCGUGGUGAAGUAAUGAGUUUAUGAAAAUGCCAUAGUAUCUAUCACCUUUGUUCUUUCAAAUCUGGGAGUGAAUUGUAUUCAUAGAUGCAAGAGGGGGUGUGGAGGGAAGGACAGAUUCUUAGUCGGGGUGUGGUAGUAAAAAGGUUAAGAACCACUGGUUUAAAGUCUAUCUAAACACACAAGUAUUUUGAAAAAAUUGCAUAUUUGACACAGACAAUAAAUGUGAUUCUAAAGAAAUUAUAGUUAUUAGUAUCUACUUGAAGCUGAUUCAUUCAAAUUGUUUUGUUAUACCCUAAAUAAUGGUAUGUGCUUUGCAGUGACCUAAAUAGAUACAGCAUUUUUUUUUUUUUUUUUUAAUUACACAUGUGAAGAUAGUAAUCAAAUAAGUAUAGCCCAUGAGUGACAUUUAUUGUGCCAAAUAUUUUCUACCUCCUAACACAUCUUGUAACAUUACAUACACAGACAAACAACACAAAUAGUAUAAACGUUGGAUAAAAAAUGAGAGAAAGAGCAAACUUGAUUGCAGUUUAUAAAGCUUAUGGGAAAGUGAAAGGGAUGGAAUGAAGUGAUUUAAUGGUUUGAAAUACAUGAGAUGCUACAGGUCAUGGAAAAAGAUUAAAGAAGAGUGCUUGUAAGUGAUGUCAAAAAGUAUAGUUUCCUAUCUAUAGAAGUAAUUAUUGAUGUAUGGAACAGACACUGUGCAGACACUCAUAAUGAAAGUCAGUCCAUCAUGUUACCUGUUAAAUUUUUCUUACAUGAUAAAGGCCUGAGUGAACUGUCAAUAGCUUUAACUUUCCAUGUCAUUACUUAUUAUUAUAAAGCUAUAUGAGACAAGCAGGGAAAGGUUUCAAUGAAGAUGAAUCUGAUUCAGAUGUUUGAAUUACAGUUAUACUUGGGUACUAAUAUUAUAAAACAGUAUUUUGAUUACUUUGUUCCACCAGUCAUGACAGCAAUUGCCAACUGUUUCUUGACAACUUGGGAGAAAUACCAGGGAAUGAUAACAAUUUCAUUGUUAUAUCUUUGCCAUUAAAAUCAUAAUAAAGACUAGAAGAUGUAUGGCUCCUCAUGUCAUUUGAGAAGUGAGCAUCACACUACGGGUAGCUUCUUCACAUAUUGCCAUGGUUCAUGGUCUCUUGUACUGUUUGCAGUGUGGUGCUAUUCCUUCCUCUUGUCAUGAGCAGGAUUGAUCUUCCAUGUUAGUGCCUCAUGACUGCUUACAUUACAUAUGUUACUUAUUAUAUUUGCUACAGUUUAUGACGUUACAGUGUAAUUGAUUUUUAAAAGGGAAAAGUAACUAUAUUUUAGAAUAAGUAUGUUAAAACCUGCUGAUGUAUACAUUUCAUACAAAUAUUAUAUAUAUAUAUAUAUAUAUAUAUAUAUAUAUAUAUAUAUAUAUAUAUAUAUAUAUAUAUACACACAGUGGAGGCUCAAUACAGGGGAUCCUCGUGAUUCGACCGUUCGCAGUUUGAAUUAUCGCCCAUUUGAACUCAGUUAAUUAAUACCCAAUUCUCAAGGUUCGACCGACUGACUCGCCAAUUCGAAAUUCAUAUCUCGCACGCCACCCACCUGGUGAAAUCCGCUGCCACCACAAAUUCGUACCCGGCCCGCCAGGCGGAAGUGUUAACCAACUCUACCCUGUGCUGCACAGAUUGGGGCUACUUUUGAAGGGUAUGCACUAUUUGAAUUCAUAAUCUGCUACCUGUGAUUUUUUGGGCUACUUAAUUCAUGAUAUGUUUGAGCUGCUUGAUGACAUUAUUGGGCUACAUUUGCAAUUUUUUUCUAAAUGUUAACAAUAAUAAUGAUGAUGUUAAUAACAUAAAUAAAAGUAAGAAUAA
rnacentral:lncRNA from 1 species